UGAAGCRGGAAAAGCUCAAGCUUAAAAUCUCCACGCAAGUGGCGAAUUGUAGUCUAUUGAGGCUGUUGUCAGCAUAGCGACCUGGGACAAGUCCCUUGGAAGAGGGCAGCAUGGAGGGUGAUACUCCCGUCUCUGCUCAGGUUGUCUGUGUGUACGACACGCUUUCUUUGAGUCGAGUUGUUUGGGAAUACAGCUCAAAGUAGGUGGUAAAUUCCAUCUAAAGCUAAAUAUAGUCACGAGACCGAUAGCGAACAAGUACCGUGAGGGAAAGAUGAAAAGAACUUUGAAAAGAGAGUUAAAGAGUACCUGAAACUGUUGAAAGGGAACCGUAUCGUUUCUAGUGUUUAUCCUAUGCAUAUUUCAUUGGCGGUUGCAAAAUUGCUGGUGCCCUGUGUAUGGGUGUGACGUCAGAGUCAGUUUGAAUUGCGGGAGAUGGGUAGUGAGGAGGUGCGUCACAUUUGUGAAAGUUACAGCUCGCUAUCUAGUAACCGUGGUUUAGACUGAGGUGCCUACAACAUGCUUUGGGGUGUAUGAUGUUGUCGUGUGAUGUAUUGCUUGGAUAGCUUGC
rnacentral:rRNA from 1 species